GGGUCACAGCUUAGUCGCAAAGCAUCUGCAUUGCAUGCAUAAUGUCCCAGGUUCAAUUCCUGGCAUCUCCA